CAUUGAGUAAAUUAAACUGCUAUUACUCUUGGAGAAAUGAAUAAGGUUUGCCCUAAAUCCAACUUAAAUUCUUUUCUAAGUGACAAAAUAACUCUUUGUGUGCUUACAAAGUAUGAAUCUUACCUGGAUUGCCAUUAAACAAAACAGGUAUAAAUAUAAUAUUCAAACAUAAAGGCAGGGUAAUUUUUUGAGUUUCUGUACCAACAUGGUGCUUACAAAUCUGGCUCAAGAGUUUUAAAUAUAGGCACAAACAACAGCAUAAUAAAAAUGGCACUAAGCAUCAAUGACUGAAAUUACAUAUUUUUUGUUGCUUAUUGCUAGAGUUGCCAAAAAUGCAAGUGAAAACAAGCAUCAUCCCUUGUUAUUACCUAGGGAUGGUCCCAGAUUUUCUCCAAGAAUUAAAUAGUGGCAAAGGAUUCCUAUUUCUAUUAAUGGGUACAUUUGUAGUAUAAGACUUCAGUAUUUGCAUCCCUACAAACAAAAUUUACAUACUUAAGGAUGCAAACAUUUUAAACUGAUCUUUUUUAUUUUUGGCAAUUAGCUUGGUAGAAAGUAAUCAGUUGAACCAACACUAGCAACAUCCUCAUGUAAAAGGACCAAUCCAAGCAAUAAGAAAAUUAGGCCUGUCUAGAACUGGUCAACUGCUCACAUAAAAGAAAAUUACAUCA